rnacentral:rRNA from 1 species
AGCAGUAGCCGCGGGAACACGAAGGGUGCAAGCGUUACUCGGAAUUACUGGGCGUAAAGCGUGCGUAGGUGGUGGUUUAAGUCCGUUGUGAAAGCCCUGGGCUCAACCUGGGAAUUGCAGUGGAUACUGGGUCACUAGAGUGUGGUAGAGGAUAGUGGAAUUUCCGGUGUAGCAGUGAAAUGCGUAGAGAUCGGAAGGAACAUCUGUGGCGAAGGCGACUAUCUGGGCCAACACUGACACUGAGGCACGAAAGCGUGGGGAGCAAACAGGAUUAGAUACCCGAGUAGUCCCUGUCUCUUAUAC